rnacentral:rRNA from 1 species
GAUGAACGCUGGCGGCGUGCCUAAUACAUGCAAGUCGAGCGAACAGAUGAGGAGCUUGCUCCUCUGACGUUAGCGGCGGACGGGUGAGUAACACGUGGAUAACCUCCCUAUAUGACUGGGAUAACUUCGGGAAACCGGAUCUAAUACCGGAUAAUAUCUUGAACCGCAUGGUUCAAUAGUGAAAGACGGCUUUGCUGUCACUUAUAGAUGGAUCCGCGCCGCAUUAGCUAGUUGGUAAGGUAACGGCUUACCAAGGCAACGAUGCGUAGCCGACCUGAGAGGGUGAUCGGCCACACUGGAACUGAGACACGGUCCAGACUCCUACGGGAGGCAGCAGUAGGGAAUCUUCCGCAAUGGGCGAAAGCCUGACGGAGCAACGCCGCGUGAGUGAUGACGGUCUUCGGAUCGUAAAACUCUGUUAUUAGGGAAGAACAAAUGUGUAAGUAACUAUACACGGCUUGACGGUACCUAAUCAGAAAGCCACGGCUAACUACGUG